ensembl:lncRNA
UAGAAUAAAUUCCAUGUGGAUCUAAAAAAUACUUUUUAGAAAUAGAACUAAAAGGUGAUAAAGGUGAAUAUAUAAUCUCAAGACAAGUGUAAAAGCAAAAGUUGUAAAUCAAAAGACAAUUACGUUUAAAAUGUUUAAUUUUACAUGUAAAAAUUAGAUAUAGACAAAAUAGAAAUAUGAUGGGAAAAAGUUCACUAGGAUUAAUAAAAUGAAAGAGUUAAUAAAAUGAAUGAAAGUUAAAAUAAAUUUAUAUCAGUUUUUUCUAUCAAAUUGUCAACUUUUUAAGAAUGAUGCUCUGUGGUGGAGGAGCUAAAAAUAGGUAUUCUUGUGGACUGCAGAUGGGAGUGUGCAUUGGUACAACCUCUCUGGAGAUUUAUUUGUAGAUCUGUGAAUCAUAAAACAGCAUUUUCCAGCCUUUUCAGAGAUUAAAAGAAAUAAUAAAUGCCACUUAUUGUGUGGUAUUACAUAACAGGCUUUUUACUGAAAUAACCAUUAAUUUUCAUAGCAGACCUUGAGGUUUUAUCUAUAAUGAUCUCAUUUUCUAGAUGAGGAAAGGGAGUUAAAUAUUUGUCAGCUGUAUGUAUUUCAUUGUUCUGACGCUAGUUCCCAUGUGUUUUUUUCUUUUGAUCUGAUUAGACCCCAAUACAGAUAAUAAAAGCAUUAGCCCCCACUCCCCCAAAUAAAGUUCAAAGGAAAAUCCUCAUUCACAAUUCUUCAUUUGCCUUCUGAAGUCUUCAGAGCUGCCCACUGGUGAGAGUGUGCGGGGAGUGAUACUCCGCACUCUGAGACCCACUGACUACGGUCAUCAUCACAGCACCACAUACCCAUUCAGGCCCCAGUCAUAGAGACAAGGAGUGGGUGGUAGAAGGUUAUCUGUGUAGUUGAAAUUCCACAGGAGCCCUCUAAGGAGUGGAUGGAAGGCAGGAAAUGCUAUGAGAAUAACCCUGUGAGUUAAGAAGCUUGGAGAAUACUUAAUUCCCCAGGACUGCCACCAAGAUAUUUCAUCCCAUCUCAUGAAUAAGCCCUGAUCUAAUGUGCAUCCAGAGUUGACAGCCACGAUGUUUGAUCCCUUGUUCAACUGCCUUUCCAAAUUGGCUACCAACUCCAUAUAGACAGGAACCACGUCAGUGUUAUUCAUGACUGUCUUCCAGCAUCCUGCCCAGUGCCAUGGACAUAUGUUUGAGGCAUGGAACCUGGCCCGGUGUUGGGAGCCUGAAGUCAGCCUCUGGACCACCAGGGAAGUCCCUCCCCAGACAAAGGAACAGAUCUGCAAACACAGGACCCGCUGUCACAUCACGGAAGGAGUUAGAUUACUAGGCUGGUCGACGACGGGGGCCUUCAGAACCCCGGUGAUUGUCUUCAUGUCUGUAGCCCAGCAUUUCUAGAUUCUGCGACGACGUCCUCAGACUUCUUAAUGUCCUGCUUUGUAACCCCCGUCGGGCCUCGUGAAUGGUGGUGAAGAUAACGUGACUGCGGAGCGCAGGGUCGCCCCGGGAGGGGCUGGGGGCCUGGCCAGUGGGAAGGUUGUAUGCGGAGCCGCGACAUCACCCCACCGGAAUCAGACCAUCGCCUCCAUUCAGUGGCGGAAUGUGGGCGGGCGUAGGAUGCAAGGGCCCCUCGGCCUGCAGUUAACCCUGUGCGCGCCCGCGGUGGAGCAUUCCCAGGCGCGCACAAUAUGUCACCCGGGGUGUGGAGCAUCCCUCGCUCCCAAGGACCAUGCGUGGUACUUUGGUUUGCCAAAUUGAUUUUCCUCUAGAUAUACUCGUGGCUCUUUCAGUGUUGCCUUCUUUUUUCCCCCACUGUCAUCAUUUAAUCACCAUAGAUAUAUUUCUCAGGACCACAUUUUCUCACUGCAAUUCAAAUAAUUUAGAAAACAUUUUAAGAUAAUCAUGGGGCUAGAUUAGGGUUAGGGUUAGAAAAGUUGAAAAUGUAAUAUAAGACAAAUGAACGUUUCUCUACCCUUCAUCUGCGUUCACCAUUUGUUAGCGUUUUGCCAUUAGCUUUAUCAUAUAUCUGCAUAGAGGUUUCUCUCUCCUGAAUUACUUACAAUUUCAGAUCUAACAUUUUGCCCUGAAAUAAUUCACAUGAAGGAAUUGGCAUAAGGACGUUUUUCUUCAUAACCACAAUACUGUUAUCACACCUAAGAUAAUUAACUCUGCUUCAAUAAUGCCACUUAAAAUAGAGGCCAUAUUUAACAUUUCUAAAUUGUUCACAAAAUACCUUUUAACUAAAUUUUUUAAAAAUCCAAAAUCC